CGGAGAGCCGGUUUUUUGGUAUUUAUUGAACACCUAUGAUGUACCAGGCUGUGUGUUCCUGCUCCUGCUGGCCUCAGAGUGAAGCUCAGUUGCCUCCACACUCUUCAGGCAGAUGGAGGGACGGUCCUGCGUGUCAAAAAGACCCCCUUUGGCUGUUGGGAAAGAGCCCGGAUGUGCGCUGAAUACAACCCCCGAUGUUGUUAUUCAGCAGGAAGAAAGACCAGAAAGAAAAGCAAAGGGAGAAGAUAUUGUUUGGGCAGAAGAAUAUUUCUGGAGAAACCACACAGCUUUCCUGUCUGCCCUCAACACAGUCUGUGUCCUCUUGUCUCUGUUGGGCCUGUGAUGCCACACAAUGAUCUUCUUGCUCUGCUCUGGUUGUCAGCUCCUUCCCAUCCUCACUGUUGUAGUAAAGUCACCAAUGAUGUAUUAAAAAUGCCAGCCCAAAUGCACUUGCCUGGUUUGACAGCAUAAAGGGGGCUGCAGAUCUGGGGGAAGG
rnacentral:lncRNA from 1 species